rnacentral:tRNA from 1 species
GCGGGUGUGGCGGAAUUGGCAGACGCACUAGACUUAGGAUCUAGCGCCGUGAGGCUUGCAGGUUCAACUCCUGUCACCCGCACCA